GAAGCUAUGGUUUGUUUUGAGAGGUUCCGUCAACUGGGGUGGGAAGCUAUGGAGAUUGGGGCCUAUGGUUUGUUUUGAGAGGUUCCGUCGACUGGGGAGGGAAGCUAUGGAGAUUGGGGGACUUACGGUUUUUGUUGGAGAGGAAAGGGUGGUCGUUGGCGGAACCGCGGCUGUUUCGAGGAAUUGUCGCCGGAUUUUCGGCGAGCUGGGUUGGGUUCUGUAAGUGAUGGAGACGUGAGCUGCUGGUGGUUGGCGUGGAGCUGGGGGUCGGGGCGGGUUGUGUCUUCGGGUCGGUCGGGUUUAAAGAAUUCAAUGGGUGGGCUAAUCUGGACCAAUAGGAGAAUGCCACGUGUUUAAAAGGUGGUUGGCGUGGAGCUGGGUUGAGAGGUGAGAGGGUCGCCGGCGGCUGCUUUAGGUCAAGGUGCUCUAGGGUUUUUCAUAGUGUGUAUUGUCUUGUAUUGUUUUUUUGUGUCUUUUUGGUUCUAAGCUUCUAGGGUUAGUCCCAAGGAAGAAGAAGAUAAAAAAAACGUUCCCCCCCUUGCGUUAGGUCUGAUGGGUUUUUUGUUGCGUUAUUGGGUUAGUGAAGGGGUUAUGGGUCAACACUUAGGGAUGAGUUACUACAUUGGGCCUUUAUUUGUUAUAGGCCGAAAGAAAGCUAAAAAUUUAUCCAUUCAACAUUACCUGCCACUUAUUGAAAAGAUCACAGCAAGGGUAACAUGUUGGUCAGCUAAGUUUCUAUCUUAUGCAGGGAGAGUUCAACUCAUCAAGG
rnacentral:lncRNA from 1 species